rnacentral:rRNA from 1 species
UACAGAGGUCUCAAGCGUUGUUCGGAUUCAUUGGGCGUAAAGGGUGUGUAGGUGGCGCGCUAAGUCGGGUGUGAAAUUUCGGAGCUUAACUUCGAAACUGCAUUCGAUACUGGCGUGCUUGAGGACUGGAGAGGAGACUGGAAUUUACGGUGUAGCAGUGAAAUGCGUAGAUAUCGUAAGGAAGACCAGUGGCGAAGGCGGGUCUCUGGACAGUUCCUGACACUGAGGAGCGAAAGUGUGGGGAGCGAACAGG